GCUCCCAUCCAGGAAGGCAGCAGGCGCGUAAAUUACCCAAUCCUGAUACGGGGAGGUAGUGACAAUAGAUAACAAUACGGGGCCCAUCGGGUCUUGUAAUUGGAAUGAGUACAAUUUAAAUCCCUUAACGAGGAUCAAUUGGAGGGCAAGUCUGGUGCCAGCAGCCGCGGUAAUUCCAGCUCCAAUAGCGUAUAUUAAAGUUGUUGCGGUUAAAAAGCUCGUAGUUGGAUUUCUGGUAGGAGCGACCGUGCCGAACUUGAUUGUUCGUGUAUUGUGUUGUCUUCAGCCAUCCUCGUGGAGAACUUUUCUAACAUUAACUUGUUGGGAUUGGGACCCGCGUCGUUUACUGUGAAAAAAUUAGAGUGUUUAAAGCAGGCAUUAGCUUGAAUACAUUAGCAUGGAAUAAUAAGAUAGGACUUUGGUACUAUUUUGUUGGUUUGCAUACCAAAUUAAUGAUCAACAGGAACAGUUUGAGGAUAUUCGUAUGAACAUGUCAGAGGUGAAAUUCUUGGAUUUUGAUCAGACGAACUACUGCGAAAGCAUUUAUCAAGGAUGUUUUCAUUAAUCAAGAACGAAAGUUAGGGGAUCGAAGAUGAUUAGAUACCAUCGUAGUCUUAACCAUAAACUAUGCCGACUAGGGAUUGGCNGGACGUUGUCUAUAUGACUUCGCCAGCACCUCAUGAGAAAUCAAAGUCUUUGGGUUCCGGGGGGAGUAUGGUCGCCAAGGCUGAAACUUAAAGGAAUUGACGGAAGGGCACCACCAGGGAGUGGAGCCUGCGGCUUAAUUUGGACUCACAC
rnacentral:rRNA from 1 species